GGAGAUGAGGGUGAUUUGGCUUGAACAUCUGUCAUCAAAUUGAUAGCUGGGUUUGAUCCUGCAUGGUGGGCUGAGCUAUAGUGCCAUCCCCCUUCACCAGUCCUCAAGCAUCCUUCCUAAGUUUGCACGCCGGGUCUAAGGUCCCAAGGAAUGGAAAAUCUUUUUCCUAUCAAGGAUACUCAAGAAUGAGGCAUUUCAUGGGGACAAACCACUCUCUGAAAUCUAUAAGAACCAAUGUUAAAGUUCUUUGACCUGUU
ensembl:misc_RNA 7SK 7SK RNA